rnacentral:rRNA from 1 species
CCUACGGGUGGCAGCAGUGGGGAAUAUUGCACAAUGGGGGAAACCCUGAUGCAGCGACGCCGCGUGAGUGAAGAAGUAAUUCGUUAUGUAAAGCUCUAUCAGCAGGGAAGAAAAUGACGGUACCUGAGUAAGAAGCCCCGGCUAACUACGUGCCAGCAGCCGCGGUAAGACGUAGGGGGCAAGCGUUAUCCGGAUUUACUGGGUGUAAAGGGAGCGUAGACGGCAGUGCAAGUCGGGAGUGAAAGGCGGGGGCCCAACCCCCGGACUGCUCUGGAAACUGUACGGUGUGAGUGCAGGAGAGGUAAGUGGAAGUCCUAGUGUAGCGGUGAAAUGCGUAGAUAUUAGGAGGAACACCAGUGGCGAAGGCGGCUUACUGGACUGUAACUGACGUUGAGGCUCGAAAGCGUGGGGAGCAAACAGGAUUAGAUACCCUGGUAGUC